GUCCUCGUCCGAAGAUCUGUCCUUAUACCACAUUAGACAAGGUCCUGUUACGGAGCUGCGCCUGCUUCUUUUUCGUUUGUGGGUGUGGUGAGUGGCGAACGGGUGAGUAUCACGUGAGCAACCUGCCCUCCUCUCCUGGAUAACCUCAUGAAAGUGGGGCUAAUACGGGGUGUGCCCGUGCUGGUCGCAUGGCUGGUGCGGGAUAGGGCCUGCCUGUGGGUGGGUCUGGUGGGGGAUGGGCUCGCGGCCUAUCAGCUUGUUGGUGGGGUGAGGGCCUACCAAGGCGGUGACGGGUAGCCGGCCUGAGAGGGUGGGCGGCCACACUGGGACUGAGACACGGCCCAGACUCCUGCGGGAGGCAGCAGUGGGGGAUAUUGCACAAUGGGCGAAAGCCUGAUGCAGCGACGCCGCGUGAGGGACGGAGGCCUUCGGGUCGUGAACCUCUUUCGCCAGCGGAGAAGGUCCUGCCCUGUGUGGUGGGGCUGACGGUAGCUGGGUAAGAAGCGCCGGCUAACUACGUGCCAGCAGCCGCGGUAAUACGUAGGGCGCGAGCGUUGUCCGGAGUUACUGGGCGUAAAGGGCUUGUAGGCGGCUGGUCGCGCCUGCCGUGAAAUGCCCCGGCUCAACCGGGGGAGUGCGGUGGGUACGGGCCGGCUUGAGUGCGGUAGGGGAGGCCGGAACUCCUGGUGUAGCGGUGGAAUGCGCAGAUAUCAGGAGGAACACCGGUGGCGAAGGCGGGUCUCUGGGCCGUUACUGACGCUGAGGAGCGAAAGCGCGGGGAGCGAACAGGAUUAGAUACCCUGGUAGUCCGCGCCGUAAACGUUGGGCACUAGGUGUGGGGGCUCUUUUCCGGGGCGCCCCGCGCCGCAGCUAACGCAUUAAGUGCCCCGCCUGGGGAGUACGGGCCGCAAGGCUAAAACUCAAAGGAAUUGACGGGGGCCCGCACAAGCGGCGGAGCAUGCGGAUUAAUUCGAUGCAACGCGAAGAACCUUACCAGGGCUUGACAUGUGGGCGCGGGCCGCGGAGACGUGGUCUUCUCCUGCCUGCCGGGCUUGUCCCGGGGGGUGGGGGGUGCCCUCACAGGUGGUGCAUGGUUGUCGUCAGCUCGUGUCGUGAGAUGUUGGGUUAAGUCCCGCAACGAGCGCAACCCCUGUCCCGUGUUGCCAGCACGUGGUGGUGGGGACUCUCGGGAGACUGCCGGGGUCAACUCGGAGGAGGGUGGGGACGACGUCAAAUCAUCAUGCCCCUUAUGUCCUGGGCUUCACGCAUGCUACAAUGGCUGGUACAGAGGGCUGCGGUGCCGUGAGGCGGAGCGAAUCCCUUAAAGCCGGUCUCAGUUCGGAUCGGUGUCUGCAACUCGACACCGUGAAGCCGGAGUCGCUAGUAAUCGCAGAUCAGCACUGCUGCGGUGAAUACGUUCUCGGGCCUUGUACACACCGCCCGUCACGUCAUGAAAGCCGGUGACGCCCGAAGCCCGUGGCCCUACGGGGAGCGGUCGAAGGCGGGGCUCGGUGAAUUGGUCCAUAUUAAAAACU
rnacentral:rRNA from 1 species